rnacentral:rRNA from 1 species
UACGGAGGGAGCUAGCGUUGUUCGGAAUUACUGGGCGUAAAGCGUACGUAGGCGGACUCUUAAGUCGGUGGUGAAAUCCUGGAGCUCAACUCCAGAACUGCCUUCGAUACUGGGAGUCUAGAGUUCGGGAGAGGUGAGUGGAACUGCGAGUGUAGAGGUGAAAUUCGUAGAUAUUCGCAAGAACACCAGUGGCGAAGGCGGCUCACUGGCCCGAUACUGACGCUGAGGUGCGAAAGCGUGGGGAGCAAACAGGAUUAGAAACCCGUGUAGU